rnacentral:misc_RNA from 1 species
GAAAUGCGAUAAGUAGUGUGAAUUGCAGAAUUCAGUGAAUCAUCGAUUCUUUGAACGCACAUUGCGCCCUCUGGCAUUCCGGGGGGCAUGCCUGUCCGAGCGUCAUUACGCACCCUCAAGCCCGGCUUGUGUGAUGGGCCCCGGCGUCUCGUUCGCGAGACGGGCCCGAAAGGCAGCGGCGGCGUCGACCCGAUGAGCCCGAGCGUAUGGGGACUUCUGUCACACGUUCGCGGUGCGGACCGGCGCCUGCUUGACUUUUCUGAUUAUCCAGGUUGACCUCGGAUCAGGUAGGGAUACCCGCUGAACUUAAGC